CAUGCCCCGGCACGGGAUGCGCCUCUUCAUUUUCUUUGCUGGCCGCGGCCCUCUUCGUUCGCCGUCAUAUGGGAUUUGGAUCGUUCCCCGAAUCCUCCCUUAUAAAUUGGUCCCCUCGCUUCCGUUUGUUUUCUUACGUGCGCCCGGCGGGUGCGUCUUGUGCUUAGGCGCAUGCGCGCCCGGCGGGAGGCACACUCGGCACCUGUCCCUUGUUCGUCACGCGUUCGUUCGGCGCACAAGUUGGGCUAUCAAGUUUCCCCGGUUGGGUUGUCGUUCCCGCGCGGACGGCUGCUCUCGUGGUGCGACUUGACUGCCCGGCAUGUGUCAUACGUUACGGCGCAUGAGUGGUGGCUUUGCGCGGUGGGGUGCGUCGUUUCCCUGCUCGGGUGCAGCGGCGCCGCACCCCCCGCGAGUCUUCAGCCUUGGCUCAAGUGCGGCACAGCCUUGGCCGAGACCCGGUUUCUUGUGUUGCGUACCUACUGCACGAUGGCAUUUGCUCUCGUCCCGACGUCCCUCGUUCGUUUCGUGCUCCCCGCUUCGUUCGGGGGCACGGGGCGAAACUCGUAUCUCUCGGUCCGUUACCCAAGUCGCGUCCGGCUGUGGCGGUGAACGGUCAGUGAUUAAGCUCUCGGAUACGGAAAGCAUUGAGGGCAAGCGACAUCUCGUCCUCGCCCGAGCAUGCGUAACAUAGACCCUAACGACGGUGCACGACAGUCGCUCCCGCCUCGGUUCGGCCGUGCGGGCAGGACGUCGUCGAGGAAUGC
rnacentral:misc_RNA from 1 species